rnacentral:rRNA from 1 species
GACGAACGUUGGCGGCGUGCUUAAUACAUGCAAGUCAACUGAAGCAGUGGUAGCAAUAUCGCUGUGGAGGUGGCGCACGGGCGAGUAACACGUAGGUAAUCUGCCUUCAGGUCUGGCAUAACUCCGUGAAACCGGGGCUAAUAGCAGAUGAUGCAGCGGCUCGACAUCGAGACAGUUGUUAAAGCUAUGGCGCCUGAAAAUGUGCCUGCGUCUGAUUAGCUAGUUGGCGGGGUAACGGCCCACCAAGGAAACGAUCAGUAGCUGGUCUGAGAGGAUGAUCAGCCACUCAGGAACUGAGACAUGUACCAGACUACUACGGGUGGCAGCAGGAAGGCAUAUUGCUCAAUGGGGGAAAUCCUAAAGCAGCAUCGCCGCGUGAGGUACGAUGAGCUUUAGCUUGUAAACCUAUGUAGUGAGAGAACUGAAACCAAAGCUUAGGGUCAUGAUGGUAUCUCAAAAGUAAGCCCCGGCUAACUACGUG